AUGGCGUCGCAGGAAGAACCUAGAGGAUCUCGUCAGGGCAAGGAACCUGUGGAAGAGCUCCUGAGCCGGUUGGAACUGCAGGAAGAUGAAGAGGAUCACUUCGUCUGGGAGGAGGAAUUCAAAGAGGAGAAGAUUGAAUCCAAGUGGCUUGCGAUCGCUAAGGUACACACUGAAAAGAGUUUCAGUCCCUCCGCUCUCUAUGCCGAUAUGAGAUCAGCCUGGAACCCAGCAAAACCGGUCCACUGGCGCAGGGUGGAUGAGAAUCUUUUUACGGUUCAAUUUGGAUGCUUGGGUGAUUGGAAUACUGCCAUGAAUUUGGGGCCAUGGCUGUUUAGGAACCAAGGGCUUCUAAUAGCUGAGUAUGAUGGAUUUAUGAACCCGAAAUCGAUCGUUCUGAAUAAGAUAACAGUUUGGGCUAGGAUCCUCAAGUUGCCUGACAACUAUCUCUUCCCGGCUGCAAUUAUGGGCAUGUGUAGAAAGAUGGGAAAAAUACUGGAGGUCCAAACAACACUUCCUGCUGGUUUUGUGGGUGAAUUUGUCAGAGUAAAAGUGGAGCUCAAUGUUAUGAAGAAACUAAUCAGAUUUGUUGGAAUAACAAAGAAUGAACAGACUGAAUUCUAUCAAGUCCAGUAUGAAAAAAUACCUGAGUUUUGUGGCAACUGCGGACUGAUGGGGCAUUGGUAUCAGGAAUGCGGUACAUGA
rnacentral:rRNA from 1 species